CCUCCCAGAGCCUUUAAAAUCGACUGUUGGCCUCCUGCAUUAUAUUUUAAAUUCGGGGCAGGUCGUCCAACCGUGGGACAUGAGCAUACAUGCUAUUUUUAUGUUGCUUAUCGAUUAUUACCGAGAUGUAAACGCAAGCGUCUGUUUGGAAAAUAGGGUAUUUAGUGACAACAAUGAAACAUCAGCGUCCUCUAUGUUUUAAGGGUUUAAUGAGCUGCUUCUAUUAACCACCGAUAUCAAUCACAAGACUGGAAGUUUCCGUUUUCACCACAAUGGAGACUGUCUCAUUAAGAUUUGCAUGAUUUUUGGACGAGGAAUGCAAAUGAAGAUGCAAUUUACGCACGGUCUGCUGUUCCUAUUGUGCCGCCGUGAAUAGUUGCGUCCUCCCAGUUCAACACAGGUGUUCCAUCACAGAACGGCUGUAUAUGGAGUUUUGUAGUCAUCAUAAGAGAGGAUGGGAAAGGACGAAGCAGGAAGAUCAGUAAACUUACCACACGCUGGGAUGCAACCCCCGACGAUCAUCUCUGUGGGCCCAUCUGAGGCAGUGGAAGCGCCUACGUUCAGUCAUUAGGUGAAGGGACUGUCACUCAAACUUUCAACAAGAACCAAAAACACACACACAAAGGACAGAUGCAUCGAUUUUCAGGAGAACUUUAGUGGGGUUUUUUUGUGUUGCAAGUUAGUCAGGAGGAUUCAAGGCUGAUGGAGGACACUGCAUUCUUGCCUCCGCUAUAGAGUAAUUUUUGUGUGUGUGUUACGGUGGUGGGGGAGAAGCAGAGAAGUGAUAUGUCUGCACUCAACAGCCACCUUGCUCAGCACUGUGGAAUUUAACCAUCUUACUUAUUGACCUCGGCUAGUAAAACAACAUGCAAAAAGCUGUUUGCCUUCUGUAGCUGUCUGUGAAGAAUGCUUCAAACUUUAGCCUCUUUUUUCCCUGGCUGGCCAAGCAUGUCCUUCCUCAUUAUGUUCUUGUGUGAGCAAGGCCAAGGCGGCUGACACAGACCCAGUGUAAUCUCUUUAACCCGCCACUGUCAUGAGCAGACAAGGCGUGACCACCCAACACUCUGCUCCAUCUCACUUAGCCAGGGGAAUAGUUUUUCACUUCAUCACCUCACCCUCUUUGGCUUGUGUCUGCUUAUCAUCUAGGGAUGCACAUUUCAAACACAUUUGAUCAAGUAUGCUCAACACAUAAGUGCAUGCAAAAUCGUUCAGUUGGGCACACACACAUCCACACCCAAGGGUUAAUCAUUGUUACAAGACUACUCAAUAUAAUCAUGUGCAGCAGUGUGCAGUUAAAAAUUCAUAUACUCACUGACCCUUGGAGUUCCCGUAAUUGACACAAGCGUUUUUGCUGUGGUUAUUGACUAAUGAAGCUAAAAGCAAAUUAAAUUAUAUCACAGGA